AUGCCUAAUACAUGCAAGUCGAUCGGGUGCAGCAAUGCAUCAGAGGCGAACGGGUGAGUAACACGUAUCCAAUUUACCCCAUAGCGAGGGAUAACUAGUCGAAAGAUUAGCUAAUACCGCAUAACGAUUAAAAUAUCGCAUGAGAAUUAAUUUAAAGAUCCGUUUGGAUUACUAUGGGAUAAGGGUGCGGCAUAUCAGCUAGUUGGUGAGGUAACGGCCCACCAAGGCAAUGACGUGUAGUUAUGCUGAGAGGUAGAAUAACCACAAUGGAACUGAGACACGGUCCAUACUCCUACGGGAGGCAGCAGUAGGGAAUUUUUCACAAUGGACGAAAGUCUGAUGGAGCAAUGCCGCGUGAACGAUGAAGGUCUUUGUAGAUUGUAAAGUUCUUUUAUUUAGGAAGAAAAGCUAGUAAAGGAAAUGUUAUUAGUUUGACCGUACUAUUUGAAUAAGUAACGACUAACUAUGUGCCAGCAGUCGCGGUAAUACAUAGGUUGCAAGCGUUAUCCGGAUUUAUUGGGCGUAAAACAAGCGCAGGCGGAUUAGAAAGUCUGGUGUUAAAAUCAACUGCUUAACGGUUGAAUGCAUUGGAAACUUCUAGUCUAGAGUGUGGUAGAGAGUUCUGGAACUCCAUGUGGAGCGGUGGAAUGCGUAGAUAUAUGGAAGAACACCAGCUGCGAAGGCGAGAACUUAGGCCAUUACUGACGCUUAGGCUUGAAAGUGUGGGGAGCAAAUAGGAUUAGAUACCCUAGUAGUCCACACCGUAAACGAUGGAUGUUAAACGUCGGGGCGAUCACCUCGGUGUUGCAGUUAACACAUUAAACAUCCUGCCUGGGUAGUACAUUCGCAAGAAUGAAACUCAAACGGAAUUGACGGGGACCCGCACAAGUGGUGGAGCAUGUUGCUUAAUUCGACGGUACACGAAAAACCUUACCUAGACUUGACAUCCUUGGCAAAACUAUAGAAAUAUAGUCGAGGUUAACCGAGAGACAGGUGGUGCAUGGUUGUCGUCAGCUCGUGUCGUGAGAUGUUGGGUUAAGUCCCGCAACGAGCGCAACCCUUAUCGUUAGUUACUUUGUCUAACGAGACUGCCAACGCAAGUUGGAGGAAGGUGGGGAUGACGUCAAAUCAUCAUGCCCCUUAUGUCUAGGGCUGCAAACGUGCUACAAUGGCCAAUACAAACAGUUACCAAACCGUAAGGUGGAGUUAAUCUGCAAAGUUGGUCUCAGUUCGGAUUGAGGGCUGCAAUUCGCCCUCAUGAAGUCGGAAUCACUAGUAAUCGUGAAUCAGCUAUGUCGCGGUGAAUACGUUCUCGGGUCUUGUACACACCGCCCGUCAAACUACGAGAGUUGAUAGUGUCUAAAACCGUGUUGCUAACCGCAAGGAAGCGCAUGUCUAGGACAAGAUUA
rnacentral:rRNA from 1 species